ensembl:lncRNA
CGUCAAGAUCAUGGGAGAGAAGACACUCAAAGGUGCAGGUGUCUCCCUCGAGGACAGCCGUCGUCUUCAAACGCUGGACAAUUGUAAUGUUGAAUGGAUGAUCAAAGCCAUGGACUUCCCAAACUGGAGCAGCUCGUGUUUGUCAUCAGCUGUCAGAACUACACCGUCCUUCUUCCAAGCAGGGCUCGCCGUCUCUUUGGAAAUCUCACACUGAAGACAAAGCUCCCCUUGCUCCUCUCCAACUGCAUCCUCCAGAGGCCUCAGGAACACUGCUGGGCAUUCUGGGACACAUUACAGGACGGAUCCGGCAGUCAUCUCUGUACCACCGACCAUCCACAUCCAUCUGGCUGACCUCGCACACGAAGGUUACAGGUUGACGCUCGACUGUGUCGACAUCUUCCAGCUCCUUCACGAUGUGAAUGUCCCUAGCUGGCAGGAAAUAUCCACACUAUGACUCGAAACUUAGUGAAAGUAACCAAAGAGAGCUUUUUGCCACUAAAAUAUUGGCUAACUGCAAUCUGACAUAUUACUCCAUAUCAUUAUUUAUUUAUUGAACUAAAUGGCCUGUAUUUGUAUAGCUUUCCUAGUCCCUAAGGACCCAAAGUGCUUUACACAUCCAGUCAUCCACCCAUUCACACACACAUCCACACACUGGUGAUGGCAGCUACAUUGUAGCCACAGCCACCCUGGGGCGCACUGACAGAGGCGAGGCUGCCGGACACUGGCGCCACCGGGCCCUCUGACCACCACCAGUAGGCAACGGGUGAAGUGUCUUGCCCAAGGACACAAGGACCGAGACUGUCCAAGCCGGGGCUCGAACCGGCAACCGUCCGAUUACAAGACGAACUCCCAACUCUGAGCCACGAUCGCCUGAACGAACUAAAAUGAAAGACGGUGCGCUGUGACUGUAUGUUCUGCGGUUCCAUAGCUUUGUUGGGUUCAUAACACUGAUUAACACCGUCUGUCCAAGUCCAGCAGUUGUUGGACAUUUCAACUACAGCAUGCACUUCACUGCAGAAACUACAGCCUCUUAAAGACACGUAUGAACCUCGAGUUAGUGGUUCAGGUUAUCGAAGCCCCGGAGAAAGUCACUGACCUGAUUUUGGGAUCUAACACAGAGAUGGUCUGGGCCAUAUAAAAACAUUCAAUCCUGUGAGCAUGCAAGUAGUUCUGUCACAUUACCUCUGACAGUGAGUCGGCCUGAGGUCUGAAUGCCAUUAGCUUGGAAGGAGAACAAACCGGCAUCUCCCAAAGCCACCCUGUUCAGUAAGAGGGAGUGUUUCUUCCCGUGUGUGCUGAUGCGACAGUUGGGUUUAGAUUUGAGCUGCGUCCCAUCCCUCAUCCA